rnacentral:rRNA from 1 species
ACGGAAGGCAGCAGUCGGGAAUAUUGCGCAAUGGAGGAAACUCUGACGCAGUGACGCCGCGUAUAGGAUGAAGGUUUUCGGAUUGUAAACUAUUGUCGUUAGGGAAGAUAAAAGACGGUACCUAAGGAGGAAGCUCCGGCUAACUACGUGCCAGCAGCCGCGGUAAUACGUAGGGAGCAAGCGUUAUCCGGAUUUAUUGGGUGUAAAGGGUGCGUAGACGGGAAAUUAAGUUAGUUGUGAAAUCCCUCGGCUUAACUGAGGAACUGCAACUAAAACUGGUUUUCUUGAGUGCAGGAGAGGAAAGAGGAAUUCCUAGUGUAGCGGUGAAAUGCGUAGAUAUUAGGAGGAACACCAGUGGCGAAGGCGUCUUUCUGGGCUGUAACUGACGUUGAGGCACGAAAGUGUGGGGAGCAAACAGGAUUAGAUACCCUGGUA